rnacentral:rRNA from 1 species
GAGAGAAGCUCUUCGGGGUGUAAACCGCUGUUGCCCGGAACGAAACUCCACUUUCAAGUGGAUUGACGGUACCGGGUGAGGAAGCGCCGGCUAACUCUGUGCCAGCAGCCGCGGUAAUACAGAGGGCGCGAGCGUUGUCCGGAAUCACUGGGCGUAAAGGGCGCGUAGGUGGCGGCAUAAGGCCGCGGUGAAAGUCUGGGGCUCAACCCCAGAUCGGCCGCGGCGACUGUGUCGCUUGGGCACCGUAGAGGCAGAUGGAAUUCCCGGUAUAGCGGUGGAAUGCGUAGAGAUCGGGAAGAACACCAGUGGCGAAGGCGGUCUGCUGGGCGGUGGGGCUCGCAAGAGUCCUUAUAGCCGACACUGUGGCGCGACAGCGUGGGGAGCAAACAGGAUUAGAUACCCUGGUAGUCCACGCCGUAAACGAUGGGCACUAGGUGCUUUGGGGAGCGACCCCCGAGGUACCGGCGCUAACGCAUGAAGUGCCCCGCCUGGGGAGUACGGCCGCAAGGCUGAAACUCAAAGGAAUUGACG